rnacentral:rRNA from 1 species
AUUGAACGCUGGCGGCAUGCCUUACACAUGCAAGUCGAACGGCAGCAUGAUCCAGCUUGCUAGACUGAUGGCGAGUGGCGAACGGGUGAGUAAUACAUCGGAGCGUGCCCUGUAGUGGGGGUUAACUAGUCGAAAGAUUAGCUAAUACCGCAUACGACCUGAGGGUGAAAGUGGGGGACCGCAAGGCCUCAUGCUAUAGGAGCGGCCGAUGUCUGAUUAGCUAGUUGGUGAGGUAAAGGCUCACCAAGGCGACGAUCAGUAGCUGGUCUGAGAGGACGAUCAGCCACACUGGGACUGAGACACGGCCCAGACUCCUACGGGAGGCAGCAGUGGGGAAUUUUGGACAAUGGGGGCAACCCUGAUCCAGCAAUGCCGCGUGUGUGAAGAAGGCCUUCGGGUUGUAAAGCACUUUUGUCCGGAAAGAAAUCGCACUUACUAAUAUUAGGUGUGGAUGACGGUACCGGAAGAAUAAGGACCGGCUAACUACGUGCCAGCCGCCGCAGUAACAC